rnacentral:lncRNA from 1 species
GUGCAGCGCCAGCGCCGCGCGCCGCUCCACCAGCGCCACCAUCUCCGCCACCGACAGCAGGUCCGGCGCGUUGCCGGCGCCCUCAGCGUCCUUGGCGGCGCCCUUGGCGGCAUCCCCGGCGCCGGCGGCCCAGCCGGGCGCGGUUUUGGGGUCGUGGCAGCGCCGGCGCCGCUUGGCCUUGGAGCUGUCGCUGCCCCAGUUGCCCUUGACCUUCAUGGUGCUGGCACGGCCGCCGGCGCCGCACUGGUGUGCCACGAAGAACGCCACCUUCUCCUUGGUGUUGCCCGGCUUGAUGACGUACCACGUGUCCAGCAGCACCCGCCCGUCCUCGGUGGCCGCCGGCGCCGCCGGGCCGGGCUCAGGGGGCUCCGGGGGGGUGUUUUCGGUGGGGCAGCAGCUCGGGGGUUUGCGCGGCGGUGCCGGGGCAGUGGCGGUGCUGGCGGUGCUGGUGGCGCAUGGUUUGUUCUGCGAGAAGGUGCCGAAGGGCCGCGGGCACCAGAGCUGCAGCUGCGGGAAGGCGUUGGGCUCCAUCGGCAGCGCCGCAUGGCACGGCCACGCCGCCGGGGCCGCCCGGGCCUGCCAGGGAGGAGAGACGGCGUUGACGGCCGCGGGGACGCUCGGGGACACCGUGGGGACGCUCGGGGACACCGCGGGGACACCAGGGGGACACUCGGGGACACUGCGGGGACUCUGGGGAGAGCCUUGGGGACACGCGGGGGACGCUCAGGGACACCGCGGGGACACCAGGGAGAGCCUUGGGGACACUGGGGGGAUGCUUGGGGACACUGAGGGGGACGAUUGGGGACACCAGGGAACCCUCGAGGACACCACUAGGACACUUGGGGACACUGGUAGGACCUUUGGGGACACCAGGGGGAUGCCUGGGGACACUGGGGGAUGCUUAAGGACACCAGGGGGACCCUCAGUGACACCGAGGGGACCCUUGGGGACACCGGGGAGACCCUUGGGGACACCAGAGGGACCCUCAGUGACACCGGGAGGACACUUGGGGACACCGGGGGGACCCUCGGGGACAUCGUGGGG